GCCACCAUACGAGUUGAUGUUGCCCUGCAUUUAAAAAAAAACGAACGUUCAACAGUGACAAUUCCUAACUACGACGUCAAAUUUGGACGCACCUCGGGGCUAAAUCACAACCCUGUUGCAUCAGAGAGCCGAUCGUAAACCAGUGGAAAAUGUGACAUUUGUUAUUUUGCCUGGCGAGAAUGAAGAGAGCCAAGGAAAUUCCAACGUAAGCUGCACACAUGUAGAUCCAGACCUCGACGGACAAUGGUGACAA